rnacentral:rRNA from 1 species
UACGGGGGGAGCAAGCGUUGUUCGGAUUUACUGGGCGUAAAGGGCGCGUAGGCGGUCAGCACAAGUCAGUUGUGAAAUCUCCGGGCUUAACUCGGAAAGGUCAACUGAUACUGUGCGACUAGAGUGCAGAAGGGGCAACUGGAAUUCUCGGUGUAGCGGUGAAAUGCGUAGAUAUCAAGAGGAACACCUGCGGCGAAGGCGGGUUGCUGGGCUGACACUGACGCUGAUGCGCGAAAGCCAGGGGAGCGAACGGGG